rnacentral:sRNA from 1 species
UGCUUACCUUGAUAAGUCUACUUAUCUAUUAGUUGAUGACCACAAACUCAUUGCUUUGAGAUACGCUAAAUCUUGGUUGAUUUUGGAUGUCAUUGCUUGCAUUCCAUAUGAAGUUGUUCGCAGUAUGUUGCCACCUAGUCUUCAGUCCUAUAGUUACUUAAAUAUUCUCCGACUUUGGCGUCUCCAUCGAGUUAGUGCCAUGUUUGCAAGAUUGGAAAAGGAUAGAAAUUAUAGCUACUUUUGGGUGCGUUGUUGCAAGCUUACAUGUGUUACUCUAUUCUCAG